rnacentral:rRNA from 1 species
GAUGAACGCUGGCGGCGUGCCUAAUACAUACAAGUCGAGCGAAUGGAUUAAGAGCUUGCUCUUAUGAAGUUAGCGGCGGACGGGUGAGUAACACGUGGGUAACCUGCCCAUAAGACUGGGAUAAGUCCGGGAAACCGGGGCUAAUACCGGAUAACAUUUUGAACCGCAUGGUUCGAAGUUGAAAGGCGGCUUCGGCUGUCACUUAUGGAUGGACCCGCGUCGCAUUAGCUAGUUGGUGAGGUAACGGCUCACCAAGGCAACGAUGCGUAGCCGACCUGAGAGGGUGAUCGGCCACACUGGGACUGAGCCACGGCCCAGACUCCUACGGGAGGCAGCAGUAGGGCGUCUUCCGCAAUGGACGAAAGUCUGACGGCGCAACGCCGCGUGAGUGAUGAAGGCUUUCGGGUCGUCAAACUCUGUUGUUAGGGAGGAACAAGUGCUAGUUGCAUAAGCUGGCACCUUGACGGUACCUAACCAGAAAGCCACGGCUAACUACGUGCCAGCCGCCGCGGUAA